AAAAAACAAUAAAUUUUGUGGGUUCCCCAUACUUAGAAUUGCAAAAAUCAAAAUUUUUUUGUCAUCAAACCCAUACGUGUGGGGUAUCUUAGGGAUAGGUCUUCAAAAAUGAUAUUGAUGUUUCUAAAAUCAUUUUUUUCCCAACUGAAUAGUUUGCGCGAGAGACACUUCCAAAGUGAUAAAAUGUGUCCCCCCCCCCCCCUGUAACUUCUAAAAUAAGAGAAUGA